GAGAAGCCCAGUUACUGCUCCGGACAGCAUGUCUGGCCUGUGUUGGUCUCUUCCCGCGUGAACUCCUGACCUAGAAACUGGGGGUCCCUGGAAAGCCAGCUCAGAGGACGUGAAGCCAUAACGUGAUGGGGCACAGAUGCCACGCUCCCAGGAGCCCAGCCGGCCGCCCCCAGGGGAAAGCACGCUUGAAGUUAAAACAGAAGCCUGACCAUCUGAGUCGGAAACCUCUAAGGGAGCGUUUCUCUAUCUUAACCUACGUCUCCCGCAGGGCGGGGGGAAUGCU